CUGUAAGCCUGUGAAGGUGGCCUGUGAGGGUUGCUGGAGGUAUCAGAAGUGCGAAUGCUGACAUAAGUAACGAUAAAGCGGGUGAAAAGCCCGCUCGCCGGAAGACCAAGGGUUCCUGUCCAACGUUAAUCGGGGCAGGGUGAGUCGACCCCUAAGGCGAGGCCGAAAGGCGUAGUCGAUGGGAAACAGGUUAAUAUUCCUGUACUUGGUGUUACUGCGAAGGGGGGACGGAGAAGGCUAUGUUGGCCGGGCGACGGUUGUCCCGGUUUAAGCGUGUAGGCUGGUUUUCCAGGCAAAUCCGGAAAACCAAGGCUGAGGCGUGAUGACGAGGCACUACGGUGCUGAAGCAACAAAUGCCCUGCUUCCAGGAAAAGCCUCUAAGCAUCAGGUAACAUCAAAUCGUACCCCAAACCGACACAGGUGGUCAGGUAGAGAAUACCAAGGCGCUUGAGAGAACUCGGGUGAAGGAACUAGGCAAAAUGGUGCCGUAACUUCGGGAGAAGGCACGC
rnacentral:rRNA from 1 species